UACUUGAGUCAAACAUUUGUUACUCAAAUCUAAUCUAGUAAUCUCAUGUUUACAGAUGCUGAUAGUUAUCCAGAUGACAUGAUCGACAUCCAGAUGACUUGAUCGACUCCAAGAAUGGUGCUCAUCGUGUACCAUCCAUCCCCGGAUCGUUGAUGGAUCGGAAGUGGCAGAUGCCUCCCUGAAGUGCAGUCUCCCAAUAAACUAGAAAGCCUCGGGAUGUGCUUCGCAUUGCUUAUCGCAAGGCGAUGGGACUACUUGACUGGAGAGAUGCAGUUUACUCCUGAGCAUGAGGCGGUAGCGGUCAACUUGGUGGCUUGGUCUACUGCCGGUUCCAGAAAGCCUCCAUGGAGAAGAUGACUUGUAUCCUGCCCUUGAAAGCACCUCUAGCAAUAGUAAAAGGAGAAGAUGACUUGUAUCCUGCCCUUGAAAGCACCUCUAGAAAUAGUAAAAGGAUUUUGAGGAAGCGAAGGCCAUGUCAAAGGUGGAUGCCAAAUCGGAUUCAUUGGUUGAUUCUACUGGUGACUCAAGUCAACGCAGUGUUUCCCCGUAGACCAAUGUUUGGCGCAGCAGUGAAAUCGCGUGUGCAAUGUCUCGGGCUCUUACGACCCCGGAAAGCUCCCCCAUCGCUCGACGUCCUUUGACUGACGGCGCAGUGGGCGUGAGGCGUUACCCCGCCACACAUUGUUACCUGGUCUGUGGGAAACGCUACAAAGAUUCAACAUGAAGUUGUGUUUAAUGUCAAUCCAUGGAUGGUACACUUCAUUGUUGGUGUUAGCAGCUGUUGUAUAUUUUAUGUGACUGUCAAUAAAAAAACUUUGAAGUGUCUUCUGCUUUUGCUUAUUAUCGUGUAUGGAAUGAUUGUAGCUGCUCAAAGGAUCAUUUUAGUUUACUUAAGGGCUGGGCUUUGCAACCAUUGCCUCGUAGUGCUAUAUGACGGCCUUUUUUUUAUAUCAGUUUUCAUGAUUAGAAGUCUGCCCUGUCGAUUCGACGGCAGCUCCAAGUGCGCGCCGGUUGUCUCACCGCAACGACAUGGCAUAAAUAAAAGGGA
ensembl:lncRNA